CUCCUGGCUGCUACCCAUUGCUAGCAAAUGUUGUCCACCCGCUCCAUGUCUGAUACCCUGCCUGCGUUCCAUUACCUCGGCUAUCUGGACAGCAGGAGGUCCAAGGUUGAACUUCAUUUUGAAAUGAGUGGAGAGAAGGAGGCAAAGACAACUCUGUGGUUGAGCGGCUGUGUCAUACGAAAGUUGUCCUGCAGCAGCAUCCUGUCAGCUUCCUGAGCUUUACUGGAGUAAAGUAUCGUCUCCAUCUUCAGAAGCUGGAGUGAAG